UAGGGAAUCUUCGGCAAUGGACGAAAGUCUGACCGAGCAACGCCGCGUGAGUGAAGAAGGUUUUCGGAUCGUAAAACUCUGUUGUUAGAGAAGAACAAGGACGUUAGUAACUGAACGUCCCCUGACGGUAUCUAACCAGAAAGCCACGGCUAACUACGUGCCAGCAGCCGCGGUAAUACGUAGGUGGCAAGCGUUGUCCGGCUUUAUUGGGCGUAAAGCGAGCGCAGGCGGUUUCUUAAGUCUGAUGUGAAAGCCCCGGGCUCAACCGGGGAGGGUGAUUGGAAAUGGGGGGACUUGAGUGCAGAAGAGGAGAGUGAAAUUCCAGGUGUAGCGGUGAAAUGCGUAGAUAUAUGGAGGAACACCAGUGGCGAAGGCGGCUCUCUGGUCUGUAACUGACGCUGAGGCUCGAAAGCGUGGGGAGCAAACAGG
rnacentral:rRNA from 1 species